UACGAGGGGGCAAAUGUUGUUCGGAAUCACUGGGCGUAAAGGGAGCGUAGGCGGGUUUUAAGUCAGGUGUUUAAUCCCGGGGCCCAACCCCGGACAGGCACUUGAAACUGGGAACUCUUGAAUAGUGGAGAGGUCAGUGGAAUUGGGGGUGGUAGCGGUGGAAUGCGGUAGAGAUCCCCAAGAACACCCGUUGCGAAAGGCG
rnacentral:rRNA from 1 species